rnacentral:rRNA from 1 species
AUUGAACGCUGGCGGCAGGCCUAACACAUGCAAGUCGAACGAGUGGCGGACGGGUGAGUAAUGUCUGGGAAACUGCCUGAUGGAGGGGGAUAACUACUGGAACCGGUAGCUAAUACCGCAUACCAUCAAAUGUGCCCAGAUGGGAUUAGCUAGUUGGUGGGGUAACGGCUCACGAAGGCGACGAUCCCUAGCUGGUCUGCGAGGAUGACCAGCCACACUGGAACUGAGACACGGUCCAGACUCCUACGGGAGGCAGCAGUGGGAAUGAUUGCACAAUGGGCGCAAGCCUGAUGCAGCCAUGCCGCGUGAAUGAAGAAGGCCUUCGGGUUGUAAAGUACUUUUAGCGGGGAGGCGUUACCCGCAGAAGAAGCACCGGCUAACUCCGUGCCAGCAGCCGCGGUAAUUC